GUAAACCAGGCGCGGAUUGUAAAAUCCCGCCUAUUACUGUGUGAACUCAACGACGUCUUCCCAGCUUUCUCGCGAAGGUUGGGGUAUUUAACGAAGAAAGCAAGGACACUCUAUUCUAUACAACUUUUAGCGAUGGAUCUCUUGGCUCU
rnacentral:misc_RNA from 1 species